rnacentral:tRNA from 1 species
GCUCCGAUAGUGUAGCUCGGCCCAUCAUUCCGGGCUUUCGCCCCGAAUCUGACCGAAUUCAACAACGAACUAAAGCGGAAAGACCCGGGUUCAAAUCCCGGUCGGAGCA